rnacentral:rRNA from 1 species
AUUGAACGCUGGCGGCAUGCCUUACACAUGCAAGUCGAACGGUAACAGGUCUUCGGAUGCUGACGAGUGGCGAACGGGUGAGUAAUACAUCGGAACGUGCCUAGUCGUGGGGGAUAACUACUCGAAAGAGUGGCUAAUACCGCAUGAGAUCUACGGAUGAAAGCAGGGGAUCGCAAGACCUUGUGCUACUAGAGCGGCCGAUGGCAGAUUAGGUAGUUGGUGGGAUAAAAGCUUACCAAGCCGACGAUCUGUAGCUGGUCUGAGAGGACGAUCAGCCACACUGGGACUGAGACGCGGCCCAGACUCCUACGGGAGGCAGCAGUGGGGAAUUUUGGACAAUGGGCGCAAGCCUGAUCCAGCAAUGCCGCGUGCAGGAUGAAGGCCUUCGGGUUGUAAACUGCUUUUGUACGGAACGAAAAGCCCUGGGUUAAUACCCUGGGGUCAUGACGGUACCGUAAGAAUAAGCACCGGCUAACUACGUGCCAGCCGCCGCCGUAAAAC